AUGUCCUAUGAGACUUCCAGAUGCAGUUGCUUCUACUCCACCAUUAGCAGCUUUGGAAUGAAUUUUCCUGAUGCUGUAAACAUGCCCAAAUCCUCCAUCAAAAUGAAAUGUAGUGAACCUGUGCUUAUUCCCACCUCGUCUUCAAGUUCUUAGAUGGUGACACGAUGGUCCUCCAUGACCAAAGUUAUUCUAUCAUUCACUUGAUCAUUUCAUCUUGUGGAUGGCCUACUGGAAUGCGUUUUGCUCACCACUGAUGCAUGCCCAUUUUUAUUUUCAUUGUGCUCAUAGCAUCAUUGCCAAAAGCCUACUGAAACUUGCGAAUGGCUUCUGCUUAUCAUCAAGCUUUUAGCAAAAUUUAAUGCAAUACCUUUGCUCAAGGCUUUCCGUCCUGCUGUAGUAAAUGAGAAUCCGACAGGUGCUCAGUACACGUGUUCCCUCUCAGGCUGACUGCUCAUGGCUGAUGCGCUCUUCAGGUGAGAAAAAAAUCAUGCAUGCACAAGAAGGUUCCCUACACCUUCCCCACCAAAAGACAACUCACAUGCUUCAUUUGUUUCCGUGGGAUGAAAUAAGAUAGUAUGCAUUUCUCUGUGA